UUGCUGACUCUCCUAUUUCUUUUUUUGGUCUAAUCAGCCUUUACUCCACAGAGUUUUUAGUUGCAAAUAGUGGGAGAGAGAGAGGCUGCAUUCUGUUUACUCCAUCUUGGCUGGUGCUGGAAGUUUUUACUUGUCUUUUUUUCUGUUAGAUAGAAAACUCCAUGAGGAAAGGCUGUAUUUCAUAUAUUAGUGUCCUUCCCACAAGGCGAACUGGGCAACUGUAUUUAAGGAUGUGGGCAAAGACCGUAACCUGCUGUCAUGAACUCAUUUCCUAACCAGAGGGUGGACACAAGCACAGUCGGUAUGGAGGAAAUAACACAAAGUGCAUGAGGCUUUGGCCAUUUUUUAGGGAGAACAUCUGAGGUUUCAUUGACAGAAUCCAUUGAAACAGAGUUGUCAGACAUUUUACUUAGGACUAGCAAAAACUUUGGUACUGAAUAGAUUAGAAAAUAAAAUAAUAUGACUUUAUAGGCAGAUAUGUGUUUCCAGAACCUCCACUCAUGUGGAUGUGCCCUAGGCACUGACUUGUAGACCAGCUUGAUCAUAGGUGACAUUAAUCCAUGAGAACUCAGUACCUCCCUGCUCAUGUGCUGGUCACAUGUCCACUGUGAUAGGUCUCUGUCAUCCUCUGCACUCACAUCUAAACCCAUUCAUGUGGCACAUCAUGAGCCACCUAAAAACAAUGCGAGGCGUGGUGCCUGUCUUAGUCUACUUGGGCUGCUGUUACAAAGUCCACAGACUGGGCGGUUUAAACAACAGAAAUUGAUUUUCUCAUAGUUCCUAAGGCUGGAAGUCUAAGAUCAAGGUGUUGGCAGGUCUGGUUUCUCUGAAGCCAUCUCUUGAUGGCUUAUAGAUGGCCAUCUUUUCCCUGUGUCCUCACAUGGUUUUUUCCUUUGUGUGAGCACACCUCUGGGAUCUCUCUGUGUGUCCAAAUCUCUUCUUAUACGAACCCAGUCAGAUUGGAUUUGGGCCACACUAACACACUCAUCUUAACUUCUUUAAAGACCCUGUCUUUAAAUUAGUUAUAUUCUGAAGUACUGGGUUAGAGCUUCAACAUAUGAAGAUAGGGCAGGGGCACAGUUCAGUCCCUCACAGUGACUGAUUUUAGAAAAGCAACAAAUAACCAGGUUAUACCAGUGACAAACAACGUGAGUGAAAAGAAGGACAAAAAGUUUUAGAAAGUGUACAAAGACGAGUUUUGAAAAAAUAUAACUUACUUGUGGGUGCCUUUUGCCUUGGACUGUACUAGCUCUAGAACUGUCUCUAAUCAGGCAAUGUUUGUUGAAUGUGGGAUUUCUCAAGAUCUAGUCAUUCCUGAGCCACCUUUAGGAUUUUUGCCAUAUCCUUAUAAAACCUGUGCUGUUAUUUAAUUGAAUGGUUUUAAUUUUAAUUUGACUCCCUUCUCUUCCAUGAAGAAAUCUGAACACAAAAUUUUUGUAUCACUAUCACAGAUGGAAAAUCAGCAUCACUUGCCAUAAUCAGAUGACAAUGAUAAAAUGUAUGUAUGUGCAGUAAAACAUUAUUAGAUACUCUCUUUCUGGCCAGGCACAAGAUAUGUCCCGGACAUGUCCUUUGGGAAAGACUGGAUGAAUAGAUGGUGGAUGGAUCGAUGGAUGGAUGGAUGGAUGGAUGGAAAGAAACAGAUCAUUUCUAUUUGUUGAAUAAAGAGUUAGCGUCUAUUCCAUGGCAGGCGCUGAACCAUUUCAUGUCACAGCGAUCAUGGAACAGAUGAGGUCUAGGCCCGCAAGGUGCUUCAAUACUAGCAGCUCAUGUGAAGGACUGGAGCCAGCCUUUACCCGAGAGCAGGUUUGGACGGGGCCAAAGCUGGGUAAGAGCGCAACAGGAAAGGAUGCGCAGUGGAGACACUGUUGCAGAUCAAGGCCAGCCGCCAGCUGCUGCGGACUGCCUCCUUGUUGCAGCAUCCCAGGUUUCCUCCCCUUCAGCCCGACCUCAGCUGGGAUGGGUAGUGUCAGCUGCUUCCUGUGAUGUGUUCGGAACCAUCUCUUAGCAGUGUAACGGUCUGUUCCGAACAUCUUUACUUAGCGUUUAGUGAGAGCCCGACCUUCUUCCACCCAAGGCCGUCACUUAUAUCAGUGGCCUCUGUGUAUGCUCUUAGCCAGAAUAAAUCCCCCCUGAGUCAGGGGCAAUAGAUCAUGGGCUCCAUCAUUUACGGCCUAUAAAUUAAAGGGUGGCUGGCAAAUCUGGCUUCUGUGCCUGGCUGCUCGCUCCUUAGAUACACAGUGUCACUCUUUUAUCGGGGGAUAGUCGGGGCAGGCUGUUUGGUCUCCUUCUGAACCCCCUGAAAGACAGUAUUUACUGGCUAUGGAAAUACCUUCACCGCAUGUUUAUUUCUUUGAGACACUCUGACCCAAACUCAUUGGCUCCUUGUUCUUGCCUCUGUCCCGAGCUGUCUGGGCAUUUAAUGGCUUGGGUGGUGCACUCUCCACAUUUCCAAGGCUUCUCAGUGGUAGCAGAAUAUGCUUUUAAAACCCCCACCACACCCAGAGUGUUUGGGGUUUCAUAAUGGUAAAGAGUGGUUGUCUUCUGCGCUCUGAGGUUGCAUUCCUGAGACAGGGUGUUCCUCUCUUUCCACCGAGGCCACAAAGCUCCAUUGAUGGCUGGGACCAUCCCAUCCCUGCUCCUCGAGAGACUUGGCGCCACUCUUGGGGCUCCUGCCUCCCCACUUCACCUACGAGAACAGAUGCACCACUGUGGAAUCGUAGAUCUCAGGAUGAGCGUUGACUUUAUAGGGCGAUUGUUCUUGGAGACAUCUCUGUUGGGUUCAGAUUUUGGAGAAUCGUGCUGUCACCAUGUUUGGGUCUAAAGUGGUAUCAUGCAUGUAUCAUGUAUGUACGCAAGUCCUAAUUUGCCUCAGUUUAGCUCAAAGAUGCUGCAUGAUGCUGGCGGGGGAGAUGGGGGAGGACAAGGGACUGAGCCUGUUGGAAUCAUGGGAAGCAGUGUGGAAAGUGUGUUCAGGGUCCUCUGACCCAACUCUUUACUGAAUGCAAGAACCCCUCACCCUGAUCUCCCGAUGAGUGCCCAUCUGGCUGCAGUCUGAGUGUAUCAGGCCCUGCCUGGUGGCCAGCCUUGGUGGGCAUCUUCUGCCAGCCGGGUCCUCUCAGCCUCCUCCAGGCUUCCCCCUGUGCCAAGCUCUCAGGACCGCUGCUAUCUCAAGGCAGGAGAGCUUCGAGAACGCCUGGAUGAGGUGCAUGAAGCUAAACUUCAGGUCCCAUUUGGGCUCUUCUUCUUAUCACCCGUUUUUGCCCAGUAACCGGGGUGAAUCUAUCCUGACCCCCGCCACUGAGCCCUCUUUUAUUCUCUUCACCAAGUCCUUGCUUUCCUGAUGCAGAUACUUCUGAGUCCUGCCUUGCCCUAGUAAGGUCUUCUCGUGGGGGCCUGUGGCCUUGUCUCUGAGCUCCAGCCCAAGAGUCAGGUCUUGCUGGCUGAAGACGGUUCUCCCAGAACGUCACAGUACAGACUGGUCCUUGUGUCUCAUUGCUGUGUUCUGUCUUCCAUGGCCAGUGGUCACCAUCAUUAGUGCCGGUGCCCCCCACUGGAGUCAGCCUGCUGGGCUGGAUGCCUUACUAGGACAUGUAGCUCAGCCCAUGCGCAAAAUGUUUGGCUUCAAAUCCUGGACCUCUGGACCAUCCAGCUACAGCUAAUCGGGGUGUUCCUGAGCACCUGCUAAGACAUGAGAAUGAAUCUGCUGAGGUGGGAAAUUUAAAGAUAAAAUGUGUCAUGUAGUGAAUAAAUACCACAGGCCACUUUGCUAUGCACUUUACAUGCAUCAGAUCCCCAGAGUCUGUGAGGUAGGUGGUAUUAUUAUUAUUAUUAUUAUUAUUAUUAUUAUUCCUGUACUCAGAGCGCAGGUAUUACAGCUGGACCACCUGGACAGGAGUCCCAACUCUGUCAUUUCCUGGUUGGGCCCCGGGCCCACGCUGCUGAGCCAUUUUGUGACUCCAUUUUCUCAUCCACGGGGAAGGACUGAUUAUGCCCAUCUUACAUGUUUGUUCUGCAUCAACAGCAUUUAGAACAGUGCCUGCCCAGGUUGGAGAUGAGCUGCCACUUGCCCAGCAAGGCACACUACUUGGUAAAGCUGCGACUUGCAAAAGAGGCCCUGUGGCCUAAGGCCCGGCUCUUCCUCUGCCUGUCGUCUUCCUCAGCCUUGGAAUCCAGGAGAUUACCUGGGCGAUGCCUUGGAUGGCAGUUCUUUGCAACAGUCAAAUGCCUUGCUUUCAUCGAUUUUGAACUAGUCACUUUUCAUCCGUAAAGACCACGUUACUCAUCUGCUUGUCAAGAAAAACAAAAAAGCAGUGUCUCUGGUAUCUCGGUUAAGAGAACCGACUUGGCUUUGGCAACUGCUUGCAUCUGGGAUCAGGUUCUGCCACUUCCCAGCUGGGUGAUCUUGGGGGCAAGUGAGCACAUCUCUUUCCCCCCUUGUUUUUCUCGUCUGCGGAAGGAAGAGGAUGAAAUUUACCUCAUGGGGCUGGGGCUGCCUUGGAUUCCACACAGUGACCUGAAACAGAGCAGGUGUGAAAGUGCCUUGUACACCUCUUUACAGUUCACUUUUCACAUUUAGGAGGUGGGGGGAUUUUACCCUGCACAGCACCUGGCAUAGAGACACUCAGUACUCAGUAGAUGUUAGCUGUCAUUGCCCUGUGUACACGUAAACAAGAUUCCCGUUGCUUUCCUCUGCUGAAGGGUUUCACCGCAGUCAUCCAUAGAUACCCUCCCUUCCCGGACAAAUGCAUGAAUUUGCAAGAUUGUUGCCCAGCGUUAACGUUGAGUAUGGCUGCGAAGCAGAUUUUUCCUCUGCCUAUAGAUAACUAGUCUCCAGGGAGCCUCAAACCUGUGACCCUGUCUUCAUUAGCCAUGUGAACCGGCUGGCCCAGUCUGCCCUUGGUAAUAAUUCCUGCCAGGUCACAAAGAAUAUUUUACCCCAUGAGCCUUGGGUUAAUACCAACCUUUGACCCCAUUCACUUAAAAGGUAAUAAGCAACAGAAGCAUUCAUUCAUUUAUCCAGCAAACAUUUAUCAAGGGACAUUCUUGAGUUUCUUAGUUCAUCAUGACUCAGGGUGCCCGCUGCCGACUCUUUCAGGCUGCCGCAUUCUUGCCGAGAUAAGAACAAAGUCAGGUAUCUGAGUUUCCUUGUGUUUGGGCCAUUCAUCACCUUUUCUCUUCUCUCCACACCCAAUUGAGUCAGGAACUCACAUUAAAGGGGCUUUGAGCUGAUGACUCUGAGAAAGCCCAGGACCCAGAUUCCCUUUCCUUUAUGAUCCCAUUAGCAGGCUGAUGGGUGACGGCCCUGUGAGGGAGCGGAGCACAAGAAAGCCCCACUGACAAAUGCAGAACACAUGUUCGCUGUCGCAAGGAUGUGGCACUUCCUUUACGCAUGCAGGUCUGCUUCAUUCAGUUCAGUCCAGCCCGGUUUGGGUGAGUGCCCGACUGCUCAUUUAUGCAGUGAUUUAUUCGUUCAUUCAUCAAACAUUUUUUACGUGUCGUGCACAGCGCUGCACUGCACUGCAUGGUGGGCAAGAAACAAAAGCAAUCUAUAACUCUUACCCAGCCUGCAUUCUAAUGGGAGAUACGAUUUGCAUUUGCAAAACACCCAGAAAAGAAUGGCAUGCGUAGGGGGGAAGAAAAAAAAUAUUUACUUCAUUUAUCAUCCAUGCAUUAGUUCAUUAACAAGUCCCUAUUAAUUACCAACUGUGGGUUGUUAGAUGUGCUAGAUGCUGGUACCCAGAGAUGGGCAACAAAGGUAUUGUUUCUUCCACCGGGGCGAUGUGGAAGACGGCCUCAGACAAGGUGAGGAAGGAACACCACCAGCGAGCCGAGAUCUCAGACACGAGAAAGAGAUGGCAGUGCCGAACGUGGGGAAGGCCCUUCCAGACAGAGGGAACAGCAUAUGCAAAGCCCUACUGUGGAAAAGAGAGGGACAUUUUUAAGGGGAAAUUUAGAAAACAGCCUAGAGGGUGGGAGAGUGAGUGGAAGGGGAGAAUGGCAGGGGGUGAGAUUAGAGAACUAGAAGGGACCACCGUGCAGGAGUUGAGAUUCUUGUUUUCUCCCUCCCUCCCUCCUCCUCCCUUCCUCCCCCCCUUCCUUCCUUCCUUCCUUCCUUCCUUCCUUCCUUCCUUCCUUCCUUCCUUCCUUCCUUCCUUCCUUCCUUCCCCCCUCCCUCUCUUCUGGCAAAGGGAAAGUGUUGAAGAGUUUGAGGCUGGCAUCAUCAUAGUUCAAUCUACUGUGUGUCUCUGGCAUGUCAGGCUUUGUGCUGAGGAUGCUCCUAUUAAAUACCAUGAGCUUAGAAAUUCUCCCAGUGCUAUUUAUUCCCUUUCCAGGAACACCAGCAAGCCGAACGUACCCAGUUGCUCCAGUGUGUGGAAUAGAAAAACAUGCUUCUGAAAUGUCUGGAGGGGACAUUGGUGAGAGCUGGAGGUAGAAGUCCCAUGGAUGGCGUAAGGCUUGCAUGAGGUCCUCGGGUUUGGGGAAUGGUGAAUGCAUCCUGGGCAGGGAGGGCAGAGUAAGCAGAGUGGCGGGAGGUGGGAGGAAAACUCUGCCUCCCUCCAUCCCUCUUUCUUUUCUUUGUGCGUGUGUUUCCUCAUCUGUCCCCCAUCACGCCCCUGUGGAGCAGGUAUGAUUGCCCCUGUUUUCAGAUGGGGAAACUGAAGCCCAUAAAAGUAAUUAGCCAAGGACACUCAGCCACUAGGUGGCAUGGACACUUGCCCGGAGUGGGAAGGGUUUUCACAGGUGGGUGGCCUACCAGAGAGAGGGCCAAAGGUUCUGCUACAGGUGAAGACGAGUUUGUGUUAGAAGGCGAAUUUCAGCCAUCUUGUCUGCUGUUGGCGAAAGGCGGGAUUCCACGUCUCCAUGUGGCAGUGCUUGAAUAAGGGCCGGGAGUGGGACGUGGACCGGCUGUAACCCACCUGCCUGUGUUGCCGGUGCCAGACGGCUGGUCCCGCCUCUCGCCAGCGCCCUCCAGCUGCUGUUCUUCUGGCAUCUGUCACCAGCAUGGAUGUGAGGCUCUGGCCAGGACUGGGGUUGCCUGCGCUCUGAGGCCUGGUGAGCGUGGGAAUGUUGUCUUGGCCGUUUUCCCCUUUCCAGGUUCAAGGAGGUUACUUUGAGGCUGGGCUUAGCAGGAUUGCAUAGCUUUCUCUUGCUUCUCACCCCAGAGUCAUCUCCGAGUUUCCUGGGGAGACAGCGCCUCCCCUGCCAUUCUCUCUGUAGGACCUGGGCUUUCUAUCCUUGCUAAGGAGGCCCCUCUAAGGAACCGGCAUCCCCUCUUUAUUCAGGCCUAACUGGCUAACCCCCCCUGGGUCUGUGGUGCUCUGGGCAAUUUGGGAGCUGCUCAGGCUCCAUCCAGGGCCCCACUCAGGCUUCAGGGACUGUUCCCUUGGCUGUGAACCCUUGUUCCUGUCCCGGCAGCGCUGAAUUCAUGGGCGUGUGACUCAUGCAGUUGCAUAAAGUCCGUGCUUAGAAGGGCCGCAUGAUGGGUUUCAUGCUCUGAGGCUCCAGUCUUGAAAUUCUUAGUAGUUUUGUCCUUGCACCUAUGCUUUGAAAGUGGAUCUAAUGGGACCACGAAGCAUGCAUGGCGUGCGUGUCCACAGUGCUUUAUGUUCACAGGUAGUGUUCUUGGUGCCCAUGAUCUCUGAAGUCUGAUGGAUGUGACAUGUGGGGGGCCAGCAUGCCUCAGAGGGUAGAAGGUAGGCAUGUUGUGUCUAAACCUAAGUAAGUGGAGGUGCCGAUGGCCCCCAGAAGCCAUGCUUCCUGUCGAGCUAGAACUUACACUGAAUGCAGAAAGAAGGCAGUGGCGUUCUGGAAGCAUGAACCACGGAGGAAUCCUACUCUGUCAUAUCCAUUCUUGUGUCACUUCCUGGUGUUCAUUAGCCACUCAUGCCGGGAGCAAUGGCAUAGAACAAAAGGCGAAGAUAGGUUGUCCCCGAGUUCCUUCCUUUAUGUCCCUCGUCGUCAUCAGUGAGCCAGACUGACCCUCUGAGGAGAUACUGUUCUAGAAGAGGAAACGGAGGUCCAGAGAGGUCACAGCACUGCACUUUUGUGCCUAUCACAGAAGCCCUUGAAGCCUCAUGAUGAAUUGGAAACGAGGUACCGAACGGAGAGGUGCUCAUGGCUGUGAACGGCAUGGUGCAGUGGACGGAGCACAGACCUGGGGCACAGGACGAGGUUGGGGUCAUCUUGACUUUAGACUAUCAGCCGCUAUCUCAGGGCAGAUCGCUUGUCUCUGGACCUCGUUUCCCUAUCUAUAAAAUGGGGAUGAGUAAGAUGAUUCUCUCUGGUGGGGGUGGGGGUGGUCAGUUCUGGCCUGUGCUUACCUUGCUCUGUGCUCAUCAGCAGUGGAAGCCUCGCCCUCGCGUCCCACUGCAUCCGUCCAUGUCUCUUUGGCGGUUCUUCUCAUGAUUAAUCUGUCUGUGUCUACUGCAUAGCUCGAUUAUAAAAGUUAGGAUUUGGCACUCCAACUUAAUACAGAUUGUCUGACCCAUUUCUCAGAGACGCACAGGAGAAUGGGGCGAGAUGCAUUUGGUUGUACGGAGGAGAGAGGCAAGGUCCCAGGGCAGGACGUGAGCCUGUCUCUGCACAGCUCCGGAACAAACUUGGGAGGUAAAGAGGUAGAGAGAAAGGAGGUUACAGGAAGCAAGGAAGUUCAUGUGGACCAACACAGCUCUCUGAGGGAGGAGAACGCACAAUUCAUAUAUAACUUACUGUAAGGAGACCAGAAGCUUUAGAGGAAUGCUCUCCUUCUAGGAGGCUACUUCGGGCCCCCGUGUCAGAUUUCCUCAAUUACCUGUCCGUGUUUUCCUGCCACCUGGCCUACUUCCUUUGCAAACUCCGAAAAGCACUUAUUUGCUCUGUUUUUCGUUCCUGCCAGACCACAUAUUUUGGUGACGCCUGAGAACUUCUGGAGGCCUUCAGGGCUCUCUCCUCUGCCAUGGAGCCUUGGUGGGCAAGGAGUGUGCUCAGAUGAAGUUCUUUGGGGUCAAGGCUGGAUCAGAAGGGGUUCGGGGUGGGCUCAGGAAAAAACCCAGCCUAGAAAAGAAAGACUCAGGUCAAGUGAGGGAGGAAGGGGAGCUGGGGGUCCAUAAAGCAAAAAGGCAGAAUCCAUCAGGCAAGACAGAUUUCAGAGAAGGGUCCUCCUGCAGGCAGACUGCCAGGAUGCACAGCUCUGCCGUGGAACACAGGGCAGAUUUUCUCAGGGGCCUCAUGAGCCUCACGACCUGAACCAGGACAUGCUGGCCGAACCAUUGGGGUGUUGAAAUGAAGAUGCUGGGAGCUGGCCCGCUUGCAUGUUAGGGCAGAAGCCUGGAGAUCUGCGAGCAGGGAGCCAGCACCACAUGCCAGUGCUGGUCGAAAAAAGGAGGGCUCUGGAGCACCCGGGCGGCUCAGUCGGUUGAGGUAUCGACUUCGGCUCAGGUCAUGAUCUCAUGGUUCCAUGGGUUUGACCCCGCAUUGGGCUCCCUGCUGUCAGGGCAGAGAUUGCUUCAGACCCUCUGUCCCCCACUGUGUCUGUCUUUCCCCCACUCACACACACACUCUCUCU